rnacentral:rRNA from 1 species
CCUACGGGAGGCAGCAGUGGGGAAUAUUGGACAAUGGGGGCAACCCUGAUCCAGCCAUGCCGCGUGUGUGAAGAAGGCCCUCGGGUUGUAAAGCACUUUCAGCGAGGAAGAACGCCUAGCGGUUAAUACCCGCUAGGAAAGACAUCACUCGCAGAAGAAGCACCGGCUAACCCCGUGCCAGCAGCCGCGGUAAUACGGAGGGUGCAAGCGUUAAUCGGAAUUACUGGGCGUAAAGCGCGCGUAGGUGGCUUGAUAAGCCGGUUGUGAAAGCCCCGGGCUCAACCUGGGAACGGCAUCCGGAACUGUCAAGCUAGAGUGCAGGAGAGGAAGGUAGAAUUCCCGGUGUAGCGGUGAAAUGCGUAGAGAUCGGGAGGAAUACCAGUGGCGAAGGCGGCCUUCUGGACUGACACUGACACUGAGGUGCGAAAGCGUGGGUAGCAAACAGGAUUAGAUACCCUGGUAGUCCACGCCGUAAACGAUGUCGACCAGCCGUUGGGUGCCUAGCGCACUUUGUGGCGAAGUUAACGCGAUAAGUCGACCGCCUGGGGAGUACGGCCGCAAGGUUAAAACUCAAAUGAAUUGACGGA